AACAAGGCAGAAGAGAACAUAUGGCACGGCAGUUGGGAACCAUCAGUCACAACAGCCCAGCUGCCUGGAAACUUUAUCAUGGAGUGUUUAAUUGGAAAGUCCUGAAUCUUACUAAGGGACCAGGGAAUCCAUGGGAACAAGAAAGGAGUGAGAUCAAGAUUACGUUCGUUUGUGUGACUGAUUUUGGACAUAGACGUGUACAAGAAAUCGCUUCCAUCGCAGGGUGUUGUUCUAAUUUGCUGUUCCCCAAAUCCACUUCUUCUGGCUUAGCCCCUGGGAAAAUGGCAACAAUCCAGCAGAAAUAAAAACUGUACCUAGAGGAAUUAAAAGGAAUUUUCUUCAUUUA